UCCCUGGUGGUCUAGAGGUGAGGACUCUGAGCUUUCACUGCUGUGGCCUGGGUUCAAUCCCUGGUUGGGGAA
rnacentral:tRNA from 1 species